CUUAGAUUUAAACUUCCUUCGCCUCUUUCCAAAGAUAAAAGAAUAUAUAUUAACUCCCCUCACCUUUCCAUUAAACAUGAGAACCAUUUUUAUUAUAACCCCACUUACCUUUCCACUUCCUUGCCCUUACUCUUCCCUUGCUUACACUUCCCUCACCCUAUCCAAACAGACCCUUAAGAAAAUGAAUUUGGACAGAUAUGUGAGUCAGAAGUUUUAAUCAAUUUCGUAGAUGCCUAACUGUUGACUUUAAGACUUGUAUCAUCAAUCUGAAUUUGACACAAAUUGAAUUUUCCUAUAAAAGAACGACCACGUCUCCUGCAGUCCUCUACAAAUACAAAAAGCCAAAAUAGGAGGGGGGGGAGGGGGGAAGAGAGUGGAGAGUGUUGGGGCGGGCGCGGUGGUGUUAGUGUAUAAAUACAAAUAUAAGAACGGCAACUUUUUAAGAAAUCAGAAUUCCAUAAAAUUUUCCUAAUUUAGCUAACAACAGCAAAAUUUAAGCUAAAAAUUACCCAAAAUAACUCGCAUUAUGAUAAACUUACUCCAAAUAGUAAUAAUAUUAAUCAACUCAAUAUCCUAAUCACACAAUAAACAGCCAAAAACACGUCAAAAAUACAAGCAUAUCUAUCCAUGCCUGUAAG
rnacentral:misc_RNA from 1 species